GGGCAGGGUGAGUCGACCCCUAAGGCGAGGCCGAAAGGCGUAGUCGAUGGGAAACGGGUUAAUAUUCCCGUACUUGGUGUUACUGCGAAGGGGGGACGGAGAAGGCUAUGUUGGCCGGGCGACGGUUGUCCCGGUUUAAGCGUGUAGGUGUGUGUUCCAGGUAAAUCCGGUUCACUUUAACACUGAGGCGUGACGACGAGGCACUACGGUGCUGAAGCAACAAAUGCCCUGCUUCCAGGAAAAGCCUCUAAGCAUCAGGUAACACGAAAUCGUACCCCAAACCGACACAGGUGGUCAGGUAGAGAAUACCAAGGCGCUUGAGAGAACUCGGGUGAAGGAACUAGGCAAAAUGGUGCCGUAACUUCGGGAGAAGGCACGCUGACACGUAGGUGAAGUGAUUUACUCAUGGAGCUGAAGUCAGUCGAAGAUACCAGCUGGCUGCAACUGUUUAUUAAAAACACAGCACUGUGCAAACACGAAAGUGGACGUAUACGGUGUGACGCCUGCCCGGUGCCGGAAGGUUAAUUGAUGGGGUCAGCGCAAGCGAAGCUCCUGAUCGAAGCCCCGGUAAACGGCGGCCGUAACUAUAACGGUCCUAAGGUAGCGAAAUUCCUUGUCGGGUAAGUUCCGACCUGCACGAAUGGCGUAAUGAUGGCCAGGCUGUCUCCACCCGAGACUCAGUGAAAUUGAACUCGCUGUGAAGAUGCAGUGUACCCGCGGCAAGACGGAAAGACCCCGUGAACCUUUACUAUAGCUUGACACUGAACAUUGAGCCUUGAUGUGUAGGAUAGGUGGGAGGCUUUGAAGCGUGGACGCCAGUCUGC
rnacentral:rRNA from 1 species